UUGUCCAUAAUAUUAUCUAAAUUUAUAUUGACUGUUUCAUAAUAUAAGGUAUCUAACUAUAUUCGCCCGGGUAUAAUGCAGGGUAUCCUAUGAAUAGAUCAUCAUUGCGGUGUCUUGGAAAUUAUUGGCUUUUUUUUUUUCUUUUUAUUUUAACUUAACAAUAAUGUUACAGCUCUAAAAUUUUACAUUACCAUUAUUUUUGCUCGUCCUUA